CCUACGGGAGGCUGCAGUGGGGGAUAUUGCACAAUGGGGGGAACCCUGAUGCAGCGACGCCGCGUGGGUGAAGGAGUGCUUCGGCAUGUAAAGCCCUAUCGGCAGGGAAGAAGCAAGACGGUACUUGACUAAGAAGCCCCGGCUAACUACGUGCCAGCAGCCGCGGUAAUACGUAGGGGGCGAGCGUUAUCCGGAUUCACUGGGUGGAAAGGGAGCGUAGACAGCCAUGCAAGCCAGGGGUGAAAGCCCGGGGCCCAACCCCGGGACUGCCCUUGGAACUGCAUGGCUGGAGUGCGGGAGGGGCAGGCGGAAUUCCUGGUGUAGCGGUGAAAUGCGUAGAUAUCAGGAGGAACACCGGCGGCGAAGGCGGCCUGCUGGACCGCGACUGACGUUGAGGCUCGAAAGCGUGGGGAGCGAACAGGAUUAGAUACCCUAGUAGUC
rnacentral:rRNA from 1 species